rnacentral:misc_RNA from 1 species
GUGAAGCUCGCGCUGGAGGCGGGGAAGGCAACCCCGGCGCCGCCAGUGGGACCGGCGCUGGGGUCUAAGGGCGUCAACAUCAUGGCGUUCUGCAAGGAGUACAAUGCCAAGACGGCGGAUAAGCCCGGAUAUGUGAUUCCCGUUGAAAUCACAGUUUUUGAUGAUAAGAGCUUCACCUUCAUCUUGAAGACCCCGCCCGCUUCUGUUCUGCUCCUCAAGGCAGCAGGUGUAGAAAAAGGAUCAAAAGAACCGAAACUACAGAAGGUAGGGAAGGUAACAGUAGAUCAACUCCGCACAAUUGCAACAGAGAAGCUUCCGGACUUGAACUGCACUAGUAUCGACUCAGCCAUGAGAAUCAUAGCAGGUACCGCAGCUAACAUGGGAAUUGAUAUUGACCCGCCAAUUCUCGAGAAAAAGAUCAAGACACUUGUAUAGCACAUAAUUCUUGUACUUUCAAGCAUACCUUUUUUAGCUGAUCAUCAUGUUGUAACUGGGUAAAAUUUUCUCUAAGAAGAUUUAAU